rnacentral:rRNA from 1 species
GGGCGUGCGAUCGGACGUCACUUACUUGGAGUCCGAACUCUCACUUUCUAACCCUGUGCACUUGUUUGGGAUAGUAACUCUCGCAAGAGAGCGAACUCCUAUUCACUUAUAAACACAAAGUCUAUGAAUGUAUUAAAUUUUAUAACAAAAUAAAACUUUCAACAACGGAUCUCUUGGCUCUCGCAUCGAUGAAGAACGCAGCGAAAUGCGAUAAGUAAUGUGAAUUGCAGAAUUCAGUGAAUCAUCGAAUCUUUGAACGCACCUUGCGCUCCAUGGUAUUCCGUGGAGCAUGCCUGUUUGAGUGUCAUGAAUACUUCAACCCUCCUCUUUCUUAAUGAUUGAAGAGGUGUUUGGUUUCUGAGCGCUGCUGGCCUUUACGGUCUAGCUCGUUCGUAAUGCAUUAGCAUCCGCAAUCGAACUUCGGAUUGACUUGGCGUAAUAGACUAUUCGCUGAGGAAUUCUAGUCUUCGGAUUAGAGCCGGGUUGGGUUAAAGGAAGCUUCUAAUCAGAAUGUCUACAUUUUAAGAUUAGAUCUCAAAUCAGGUAGGACUACCCGCUGAACUUAAGCAUAUCAAUAAGCGGAGGA